ensembl:misc_RNA
UAGACAGCUCUGGAGACUUAAGUCCUCUUUAUCUCCAGAAGUGCUACAACAUGAGGAGGGGCAGCAUCAGCUUCCACAACAGCAAUCUGUCAAGUUGCCUCAGCCUCAGCUCAGCAGGGUCACUUCUAGGAACAAGGAGAUAAUUCAGCCAUUAUGACCCUGUCCAGCUCUCUAGUUCU